UUCCCAGACUCCUACGGGAGGCAGCAGUGGGGAAUAUUGCACAAUGGGGGAAACCCUGAUGCAGCGAUGCCGCGUGGAGGAAGAAGGUUUUCGGAUUGUAAACUCCUUUUAUCAGGGACGAUAAUGACGGUACCUGAAGAAAAAGCUCCGGCUAACUCCGUGCCAGCAGCCGCGGUAAUACGGAGGAUGCGAGCGUUAUCCGGAUUUAUUGGGUUUAAAGGGUGCGCAGGCGGAGGUGCAAGUCAGCGGUCAAAUUGCGGGGCUCAACCCCGUACUGCCGUUGAAACUGCAUCCCUUGAGUGCGCGAGAAGUAUGCGGAAUGCGUGGUGUAGCGGUGAAAUGCAUAGAUAUCACGCAGAACUCCGAUUGCGAAGGCAGCAUACCGGCGCGCAACUGACGCUCAUGCACGAAAGCGUGGGUAUCGAACAGGAUUAGAUACCCCCGUA
rnacentral:rRNA from 1 species